rnacentral:rRNA from 1 species
CCUACGGGAGGCAGCAGUGGGGAAUAUUGCACAAUGGGGGAAACCCUGAUGCAGCGACGCCGCGUGAGUGAAGAAUUAAUUCGUUAUGUAAAGCUUUAUCAGUAUGGGAGAAAAUUACGGUAUCUGAGUAAUAAUCCCCUGCUAACUACGUGCCAGCAGCCGCGGUACUACGUAGGGGGCGAGCGUUAUCCGGAUUUACUGGGUGUAAUGGGAGCGUAGGCGGCAGUGCAAGUCCGGAGUGAAAGGCGGGGGCUCAACCGCCAGACUGCACUUGAUACUGGACGGCUUGAGUGCAGGAGAGGUAAGUGGAAUUCCUGGUGUAGCGGUGAAAUGCGUAGAUAUCAGGAGGAACACCAGUGGCGAAGGCGGCUUACUGGACUGUAACUGACGCUGAGGCUCGAAAGCGUGGGGAGCAAACAGGAUUAGAUACCCGAGUAGUC